rnacentral:rRNA from 1 species
ACGUACACUCCUGCGGGAGGCAGCAGUGGGGAAUAUUGGACAAUGGGCGCAAGCCUGAUCCAGCCAUGCCGCGUGAGUGAUGAAGGCCCUAGGGUUGUAAAGCUCUUUCACCGGUGAAGAUAAUGACGGUAACCGGAGAAGAAGCCCCGGCUAACUUCGUGCCAGCAGCCGCGGUAAUACGAAGGGGGCUAGCGUUGUUCGGAUUUACUGGGCGUAAAGCGCACGUAGGCGGACUAUUAAGUCAGGGGUGAAAUCCCGGGGCUCAACCCCGGAACUGCCUUUGAUACUGGUAGUCUUGAGUUCGAGAGAGGUGAGUGGAAUUCCGAGUGUAGAGGUGAAAUUCGUAGAUAUUCGGAGGAACACCAGUGGCGAAGGCGGCUCACUGGCUCGAUACUGACGCUGAGGUGCGAAAGCGUGGGGAGCAAACAGGAUUAGAUACCCGUGAGUCCCAUGA